AGAAUCAACGCUGGCGGCGUGCCUAACACAUGCAAGUCGCACGAGAAAGGGGACUUCGGUCUCCGAGUACAGUGGCGCACGGGUGAGUAACACGUGAAUCAUCUACCUUCGAGUGUGGAAUAACUGAGAGAAAUCUUAGCUAAUACCGCAUAAUACCUACGGGUCAAAGCAGCAAUGCGCUUGAAGAGGAGUUCGCGGCAGAUUAGUUAGUUGGCGGGGUAAUGGCCCACCAAGACGAUGAUCUGUAUCCGGCCCUGAGAGGGCGCACGGACACACUGGAACUGAAACACGGUCCAGACUCCUACGGGAGGCAGCAGUGGGGAAUUUUGCGCAAUGGGGGAAACCCUGACGCAGCAACGCCGCGUGGAGGAUGAAAUAUCUUGGUAUGUAAACUCCUUUCGAUGGGGAAGAUAAUGACGGUACCCAUAGAAGAAGCCCGGCUAACUUCGCGCCAGCAGCCGCGUAA
rnacentral:rRNA from 1 species